CUGUCAGGGAUCGGGGGUAGGGACAAAGAGUUUUUUAUAUUCAGGGAUUGGGGACGGGGAAUGUGAUCUUGAGCCCCAGUCUAGCCCAUUGUCAUUCAUCAUAUAAUGCCAUCUUUACAACAAAUGAACUUGUGCUAACCUAUUGUGGUCGUAUUUUUACUAGAGAUGAACGAUGACGAUGACGACGACGACGGUGCACGGAUGAAUCAAAUGUUAUAUGAUUUCGCUGCACUCGCAACAUAGUGGCAGAAUGAAUUGAACUAUGCUUAUGUUGAAGUGCAUAGAAUUCCAUCUUGAUAGGGCGGACAUGGAUUGCACAGUGGCCUAUUCCGAUAUGAAUUGUGCAUGCCCAAACAUGUGUUCACUCGGUUAUGUGCUACAUUGGUAAAUGACUUCCAGUUGUGUGUACCCGAGCUUGCGCACGGCUUGCACGUUGAGGAGAGUGUUGCAAUAUGCAUUUAUGUGCUUAAAAACCUGCCAAACAGGCAGCUACAAGAACAAUUCCAACAAUCCGGUGAAACAAUUUCACGGUAUUUUCAUAAUGUAUCAAAAGCAAUGAAAAAGUUCACAAUCGCUCACUGCUAGCCCCCCUCUCAGUUUCAUACGUACAAGGAUCCCUAUCUGCAGUCCUAACCACAAUAUUUGCCAUUCAAAGUGCACAAAACUAUUAUUCAACGUUUUGGAUUAUGUUCAUAUGAAGAUGUGACUUUGAAGAUGCAAUUACACAUUCAAUUUAUUUGUUGAUAUUAAUGUGCGACUGUCGCUUACGUGAUGUGUAUGAUUGCUUAGGUGCCUUGGAUGAGACACACGUGAUAGCAUGCAUAAAGGAGUCAGAAGCAGCCAUGUAUUUCAGUCGAAAUAGGUGCCACUCUCAGAACAUUUUGGCGGUGUGUGAUGUUAACAUGUGAUUCGUGUUUGUAUCUUACAGGUGGGAGGGCAUCAUGCAUGAUAGUCGGGUUUUGAGCAAUGUAACCGAGGAUGCAGAAUAAAAUUUCCCUACUCCACUCGAUAAUAUAGCAAUAAGAAGGGCGUCCUAGCACUAUACAAAGGCAACCGAUACAACAAACCGGAAUUUCAAAGGCACAAUUCAAGAAACCAUAAUGAGUUGUUCAACUGUGCACACUCAUCUUUGCGAAGUGUGAUUGAGCGGGUGCUUGGAAGGCGCGAUGGAGAUUUCUUAAAGAUAUGCCUUGGUUUGAUUUUCGUAAAGUGCAGGUGCCAUUGGUUGCAGUAUCCAUGGCUUUACAUAAUUUUAUAUGUAGAAAUAGUCAAGACGAUGAGAUAGUUGUAGCUGUCACCAAUGUGACAAAGUAUGCUUAUCCGGAUAUGCCUGACCGAGAUGAUUUGGCUACCCUUGACGAUGCCCUGAUAUCUGGGGACGACGACAUUGAGAUGGCGCAGGUGUGGGCUCAAAUCAGGGUAGAGUUGGUCCAAAUUAGCCGUAAUGCUCACUAGCUGCAAAUGUUAAGCGAUGCAUGUCAAUACUAUGCUAUGUUUCAGGAAAUUGGAGAAGACAGCUUGUGUAUUUUUUUUAACUUUAAGUUUUUAUAUGGUGGAAGCUGUUGGUAGCAGAGUUUGGUUGGAGUUUUACAGAUAAGUUUUGGCAUUACUUUUUAAUGGAGUUUUGCACAGAGAAGUUCAAACCAAUUUUAUUUU